UCACCCAGGCGGAGGAGCUGAGCUUCAGCCAUGAAUCACUAACGCUACUCAGAGGAAACGGAUAAUUCUCCAUCUUCUGAAUCGCACUGUUGCCCUAAAGCAACUGAGCCCUGGGCGUUGCCUUUGGGCCUUUUGACCAGGGCCCAGGCAGCAUCACAGAGCUGUGGCCUCGUCACAGAGGGCUCCUGGGGUGGGGGAGGGGCGGCGAGAGGAGGGGGCUGGACCACGGCCCCUCCCCCACCCCAGCCCUGCUCAGCGCUCCAGCCCCUGGGCCUUCCAGAGCCCGCCUUUGACUCCAUCCUCUCAUCCGGUAUGCUGACCACUUAGGGCAUGAGUUUCAGAACAUGCAAAACUGAUGGAAUUAGAAAAGGAAUGGACCCUGCCCCUGACAGUUUCAAGAGGAGCAGCUGGGAAGUGUUUCAGAUGGUGGCCGCGAUGCCUGUUGGGUGACACUGAUGGCAGUACAACAGCAGCAAACAGCAGAGCCACAGGGAAAUGGUGGUGAUGACCCACCAGCACGAGGACCAU